rnacentral:lncRNA from 1 species
CCUAUUUAAAAAUUCUACAAGACACUAGAGCAAAGGAUUAAUAUAACAAAAGGCGUAAAGCAAUUUUUCUCUAGCUCUACAAGGGUUGCAAGCCACCUAUCCAAUAAUUCUAGUUACUAUGAUCUCUAGGCAGAAGCAAUGGCUAUGUCACUACUCUUUACAACUAGUUACAACUAGCUAAAACUAGGAUCUACUAGUUAUAACUAAUUUGCAAGAAAGUAAAGAGAUGAGAGAUAAUUAUACCGAUGUGUAGAGGAUGAACCAAUCACAAUUUAUAUCAAUAUAUUCAUCGGGAGAAUACCAAUCACAAUAUUGACACAAAUAUUUUUCUCCCGAGGUUCACGUGCUUGCCGGCACGCUAGUCCCCGUUGUGUCGACCAAUACUUGGUGGUUCGGCGGCUAAUAGGUGUUUCACAAACCUAGCCCAACAAAUGGGAGCCACAAGAACCUACCCACAAGUGAGGUAGCUCUAUGACACGAGCAAUCCACUAGAGUGGCUUUUGGCACUCCGCCGGGGAAUAAGCCCAAGAACCCCUCACAAAUAUCAACUUGAUUGGGGGGCGGACACAAUCACCAAAUCCCCUCACCAAUCAACAAAUCCACAACCGUCUAAGUGACGGCAAUCACCAAGAGUAAUAAGAAUUCCACAAUUACAAUCACCACCUAGUGCCACAAAUAUGUAUCACAAAUGCAUGAACACUAGGGUUUCCUCAACUCCUCUCACCAAAGAGAACCAACCAUGGGAAUAGAGAGGAGAGGGAGGAGAUCUUCUUGGAGCUUUCAAAUCGAUCUCUAGAGCUUACUCUCUCACUUGAAUGGAGCACAAAUCUUUCGGAGUGAGAGAGGAGAGGAGAGCUCUUUUUCUUAGGGUUCUUCCUUGGAAGAGAAAAGGGGAAAGGAGUGAGCUCUUUGUUCUGUUUUUGGUGUUCGCGAGAGAGUGGGGAAUGGGAACCGGGGAGAAAACUCACGAAGGGGUACGCACUGCUUUUUGACCCCUCAGUCUCCCAGAGCCGGCGCUUGGUCGAGCCCAACGGGCAAGCAGCACAAACGGUCGAAAGUCACAUGCCACCGCUCCAACUUCAGAAACCUGGGCCCACACGGUUGACGCGCAAAGGCGCAAGAAACAAAGCUUCAUGCACAGUUCCUCCGAGAAAAAAGAACGCCACGGCCUCCAAGCAAAUUAAUUAAACCGUGUGGCGCUAGGGUAAAAAUAGCCUCACCGGCGCAUGUGCUCCAAUUAAAAAAAAGUAUGGCCACACCUUUAAAUAGCGCUAAGGGCCCCACAAGGUAAUUGUGUCACUAGUAAAUUACGGCCACUCAUUUUCCAAAUGCAUGCUCACAUGCGGUUGAUGCCAUGCGACUUCUUCUUUUUCUUGGACAAUGAAUGCAUGCAACUUCACCUCUGCUUUUUGCCGAUAGAAGUUGAUGGACCAAGCCCAUGACGACCCAGCAAGGAUGGGGCACCAGCAGGACAGCGCGUCCACCAGUGGCACAAAAGCCUAGCAGACCACUAGCAGCAGUUCCUUCCAGCCGAAUGCAAACACUUCCAGCUGAUAUCAACUGAUUUAAACUUCUUUCAAGUGCUUCCAACUUGUUACAAUUUUUUUUCAGCAGGGAGUGCCUAGCUAGUAGCAGUUCCAACUCGUUCUGACUGCUUUCACCUUCCGUGAAUUUUUCAGCACCUUUUUAAGUAGCUAAUUUUACCAAAAUAUUACAAAAUAAAUUGGACAUUUAAAUUAGCUUUUCACAAAUAUUUUUUAUAGGCUUUCUCAUACAUCUCACCACGUCACUAAGCGCUAAGUAAAUGCAAAUGAGAUUUAUACUUAGUGGCACUAGAUAACCAUUGCAAUUAAAGAUUUCCCCUCUUUAUAGUAUGGUUAUCUAUCCUAAAUCCACUCACACCCACUAGGUGUCUUGAGUGGCAAAACAAAAUGGCCCUAUAAAAAAAUACCUUUGCCUUGAGCCUUUUUUGUUUUUCUCUUUCUUCUUUUCCAAGUUAGAGCACUUGAAUAUCAUCUUUUGGUCAGCUCCAUCACCAUGACCAUCAUCUAGCUCCAUCACUUGGUGGGUACCAACCUAUAUUUAUAUUUCACUCAUGACAAAGGUUAGUACACAUAGGUUUCAUCAAUUAUCCAAAACCAAACUAGGGCUUUCAAUCUCCCCCUUUUUGGUAAUUGAUGACAACCUUUUCACAAAGAUAUUCAAUAAAAUCUUUUUAGGUUUAUGUUGCUUGCCCAAACAUUUUACCAUGUAUAAAGGAUAUGGACAAGUUUCAUAAACUCAAAUUGGUAGCAUUGGCUCCCCCUACAUAUGUGCUAAGAGUUUGGAUUUGAAAGCUUGCACAUAUGCUUAGAUAGGAAACAUAGGAGACAAUGACUACCAAAUGAUGCUAAGAUGUAAAGAAUGGACCUUUGAAGCGUGAUACCAAUCGGAGUUGCCAUUUGAACACCAUCCUUAGCACCAUGGUUAGUUAGAUAGCUCUUGCAAACAUAAACACUAGAUACCUCAUGAGAUCAACAUUAUAAACAAGGCUCUAGUAUCACUUGUAAAAACAAAACAUACAAGGAACAUCUAACUAUCAUCCUAUGCAUGCUAGUAAUUUAUUUCAUCAAACAAUUUUACAACUAGCAAGCAUCACACAAGCAUGUUUAAAAAAAAAUGUGCUAUGCAAGCAAGCAUAUGUAAUGCACAUCCAAAUGCAGCAUACAAGUUUAUGAGCUUGCUCCCCCUACUUGUGUGCUUAAAAAAAAUUUGAUCCCUUCUUUUAGCAAAAACCUAUCUUUGUGAAUUACUUCUCCCCCUUUGUCAUCGAUGACCACAAAAGGUGAGCUCAAAUUUGAGAUAGGUUGUGUGAAAUCAUGUUAUGUGAGGAUCAUUUUCCCAAAUUCGGUUCAAUCUAGAUUACUUGCCUAAGAUAUUUAACUCGGUUUGAUCCAAUGACAAGCUUUUUUCACACCUCAUUUCAAGCUUUUUUGCACAUCCACACUUGAUCAUUGAUUGAACCCAAAUACAUCUUCAUUUUUCUCUUCCAAUAAUCAUAUCAUGUACCAUCAAAGAAUGGUAGUUUGCCCCCCACAUGGUUGAACACAAUUUGAGCCAUCUUUUGACACCGAAGGUUGUUAAGCCUUGAUUAAACGGUGACCACGGCUCCGAUACCACUUGAAAGGUCCUAAUAUGGCUAGAGGGGGGUGAAUAGCCUAUUUAAAAAUUCUACAAGACACUAUAGCAAAGGAUUAAUAUAACAAAAGGCGUAAAGCAAUUUUUCUCUAGCUCUACAAGGGUUGCAAGCCACCUAUCCAAUAAUUCUAGUUACUAUGAUCUCUAGGCACAAGCAAUGGCUAUGUCACUACUCUUUACAACUAGUUACAACUAGCUAAAACUAGGAUCUACUAGUUACAACUAAUUUGCAAGAAAGUAAAGAGAUGAGAGAUAAUUAUACCGAUGUGUAGAGGAUGAACCAAUCACAAUUUAUAUUGAACCAAUCACAAUUUAUAUCAAUAUAUUCACUGGGAGAAUACCAAUCACAAUAUUGACACCAAUAUUUUUCUCUCGAGGUUCACGUGCUUGCCGGCACGCUAGUCCCCGUUGUGUCGACCAACACUUGGUGGUUCGGCGGCUAAUAGGUGUUUCACAAACCUAGCCCAACAAAUGGGAGCCACAAGAACCUACCCACAAGUGAGGUAGCUCAAUGACACGAGCAAUCCACUAGAGUGGCUUUUGGCACUCCGCCGGGGAAUAAGCCCAAGAACCCCUCACAAAUAUCACCUUGAUUGGGGACGGACACAAUCACCAAAUCCUCUCACCAAUCAACAAAUCCACAACCGUCUAGGUGACGGCAAUCACCAAGAGUAAUAAGAAAUCCACAAUUACAAUCACCACCUAGUGCCACAAAUAUGAAUCACAAAUGCAUGAAUACUAGGGUUUCCUCAACUCCUCUCACCAAAGACAACCAACCAUGGGAAUAGAGAGGAGAGGGAGGAGAUCUUCUUGGAGCUCUCAAAUCGAUCUCUAGAGCUUGCUCUUUCACUUGAAUGGAGCACAAAUCCUUGGGAGUGAGAGAGGAGAGGAGAGCUCUUUUUCUUAGGGUUCUUCCUUGGAAGAGAGAAGGGGAAAGGAGUGAGCUCUCUGUUUUGUUUUUGGUGUUCGCGAGAGAGUGGGGAAUGGGAACCGGGGAGA